GACGAACGCUGGCGGCGUGCUUAACACAUGCAAGUCGAACGGUGAUGCUCCAGCUUGCUGGAGUGGAUCAGUGGCGAACGGGUGAGUAACACGUGAGCAACCUGCCCCAGACUCUGGAAUAAGCGCUGGAAACGGCGUCUAAUACUGGAUACGAAACUGGCCCGCAUGGGCAUGGUUUGGAAAGUUUUUCGGUUUGGGAUGGGCUCGCGGCCUAUCAGCUUGUUGGUGAGGUAAUGGCUCACCAAGGCGACGACGGGUAGCCGGCCUGAGAGGGCGACCGGCCACACUGGGACUGAGACACGGCCCAGACUCCUACGGGAGGCAGCAGUGGGGAAUAUUGCACAAUGGGCGGAAGCCUGAUGCAGCGACGCCGCGUGAGGGAUGACGGCCUUCGGGUUGUAACCCUCUUUCAGCAGGGAAGAAGCGAAAGUGACGGUACCUGCAGAAGAAGCACCGGCUAACUACGUG
rnacentral:rRNA from 1 species